GACGAACCGUGCGAACGUUAUUCGGAAUCACUGGGCUUAAAGCGCGUGUAGGCGGGCCGGCACGUCCGAUGCUGAAAUCCCCCGGCUCAACCGGGGAAGGGGCGCGGAUACGACCGGCCUGGAGGGACGUAGGGGGACCUGGAACUUCCGGUGGAGCGGUGAAAUGCGUUGAGAUCGGAAGGAACGCCCGUGGCGAAAGCGGCGUGCUGGGUCCCUUCUGACGCUGAGGCGCGAAAGCCAGGGGAGCAAACGGG
rnacentral:rRNA from 1 species